CUUCUGGCUGUGAGAGAAUAAAAUGUUGUUGUUUUAAACAACCAACGUUGUGGCAAUUUGUUACUGCAGCCACAGGAAACUAACAUACUUCUCUCCGCAUAAGUCAAACCAUCAAACAACUCUUUGCUUCUACUCCAAUUUGCUUAUGCUGAAAUGGCAUUCGGAAAUAGGUUUCUGAAUACCCCCUCGGGUUUUUUUUUUUUUAACUGAGGUUACUCUUCCUAUGGAGUUCUGCUUUGUUGGCAUGACACUUUGUACCUGUCUGGCUCAAAAGUUAUUUCCAGGAUAGGAGGCAGAAUACAUACUAUGACGAAUAAUCAGCACAGCAACAUAGUAAACUGCAGAGGUCUGCUCUCAGCUUCAACUUUAACCCUUUUUCACUCACGUCAUUUCCAAAUUCAGUCUCACUUUUAUUUCAUUUUAAAAUUUAUUAUUAUUAUUUCUUGGCCGUGCCACGCGGCAUUUGGGAUCCUAGUUCCCCAACCAGGGAUCGAACCCGCGCCCCCUGCAGUGGAAGCACAGAGUCUCAACUACUGGACCGCCAGGGAAGUCCCCAGUCCCAUUUUUAGUUCUACUACCUACCUUAAUUCUCAGCUUCACUCUCACACUGAAAUCCUUCUGAUAUCACUUACUUUUAGAAAGAUAAAAAGGACCAUCAUUUACUGGACAUAUGCAUUUGGGCACAAGGGACCAAGCUGGGAGUGUGGCACAUGAUAUGGAACCUGAGAUUACAUGGCCAGUUAAGUGGAAGAGCUGGCAUGCAAAGCCAGGUCUGUUUAAUACAAAUGCCCCUACUCCUUCCACUGCCUUUCAAGUUUGGGAUUCUGGAUUGCUUUGGAGUCUUCAAAAUCUGAAAUCUACCUAAGUACCUCCUUUUUCCUUCCCAAUCAACAGGAAGGACAUUUUUGGGGCAGAAGAACUAGGAACUGUAUUGUUUUCUCCUUCUUAUUCUUUAAUGCACUAUUAGGGACCAAAUCAGGAGAAGGAAGGAUAAUGUGAAAGAUGAGCAAAGAGGGUUUCUCUUCCUUCUUCAGAGUUCCUUAGUUAAGUCCUCUGGCUAUGAAUAGUACAUUAUCAGGCCAGCGAGGAGCUCACAUUCUGGCUCUGAUAUCUCAAAGCAAAUGUUCAUGAUACAAAGCAACUUGAAAUCAGUAGCUUGUACAGUGAUUUUUUUCUAGGUCUUGGGAAAAUGAUCUGGCCACACUGCUGACAGUUGGCGAAGAACUAGAGCUCCCAAUUUAUUUGUGUUUAUUCACCGAGCACUUCAAUUUAUCAGCCGAGAUAGGUAUAGCACAGCUUUCCUGGUCAGUAGACACAAACUGCCAAAUACCAGCGUCCAUCUCACUCUCAAUUCAUUUGUCAAGAUGAUUCGGCUAGAAUAGCAGACUAGAUUGCAUGGUGACCAAGAGCAACAGUGCUGGUUCUACCACGCCACCACCUGACUCUGGGUAAGUCUCCUUUCAUUCAUUCUCUCAUUCAGUCAGCUGUUUUUUAAAGCACCAAGGGCCUUGAAAUCCUAGCUCUAGCACUUUUUAGCUUAGAAAGCUUUGUUAAGAUAAUCCAAACCUCACAUUCCUUCUUUGUAAAGUGGAGAUAAUAAUAGUGCCUUCUCUGUACAGUUCUUGUGAGAAUGAAGUGCGAUGAUGUAUAUAAAAAGGUUAGCAUGGUGCCUGGCAUAUAACGAACGUCAGCUUUUCAUUCGAUAUCAGGAUAAUCAGUUACUAAGCAUUUAUUGUGUUCUGAACAUGGUACUAUGUCCUGGGGCCACCCAUCAUUUGCACCAUUUAGUGACUGCCUUCUUUGGGCCAGAUCGGCAACUUUGAUUAUCUCAAAUUGUCCUCGUAACAACUUGUAAGGCAUGCAUUAUUUUCACUAUCUUAUAACUGAAGAAACUGAGUUCAGGGAAGUAAAGUUGAAGAUUACACACCUAGUAAGUAGCAGAGCUGGGAUUUGGACUCCUAUCUAUCUGAUUCCAAAACCCAUUUACUAUCAUUCUGCCAUGCAGCCUUUACUGUUAGCAAGAAGAAUAAGACACAUGUCCUGUUCACAAUCUAGAGGGGGAACACAUAUAUUAAAGAACUCAUUGCAAUACAACAUAUGUGAUAACACCAGGUGUUAUCGCAUUGUUCUCAUUCAGUUCUCGUAACAGCUCUGUGAGGUAGGUACUGUCAUUAUUCCCUUUUCACAGGUGGGGAAACUGAGGAACAGAGAGUUUAUGGUGCUUGCAAAUACUAUAGUCCAUAUGCAUGACCACUACACUCUAGUGCCAUUCUGGAGAGCUAGAAACAUAUGAACAGUGUGCUUGGGGUCGAAGGGGUGUCAGUGACUAUGCUUGUGAGAACAAGAUAAGAUUUCAUAAGUGAGAUGGUAUGUGAGCUGAAACCUGCAAGUAAUGCACCAAGUUGAGGGCUUCCUUGGUGGUGCAGUGGUUAAGAAUACACCUUCCAAUGCAGGGGACAUAGGUUUGAGACCUGGUCCGGGAAGAUCCCACAUGCCGCGGAGCGGCUGGGCCGGUGAGCCAUGGCCGCUGAGCCUGCGCGUCCGGAGCCUGUGCUCCGCAAUGGAAGAAGCUACAACAGUGAGAGGCACGCGUAUGGCAAAAAAAAAAGAGAAUGCAUCAGGUUGACAAAGGGCGAUGAAGAAGGAAGGGGAAAACCAGGCAGCGGAAACAGCACUUGCAAAGGCCCAUUCUCUUCACUUUCUAAAGUCUAUCCUUAAAGUACAAUGGAGGUCCUUCAUAGGUCUGAUACAGAGGACAUUCCAUUUUUCUCCAUUUGUUUCCUCAUAUCUUUCUCCCCAUCCCUAUCUGACACUCAUCAUAUUCCUCCUGCUGUCCUUCAUAUGCCACCUCUCCAUUUCUUACUAGCUCUCACCUGGACCAUUGCAAUCACUUGGCAAUAGCUUCCCCUUCUUUCACUCCGCCUUCCUUCAAUCUAUUUAAAAACACAGUUGCAUAUUGAGUUUUCAGCUCUGAUCACCCAUCUCCUCAGACUCUGAAAUCUUUAAAUCUCCCACUUUCUCCAGAGUAGUCUAAACUACACAGCCAGCAAGCCACUAUCUUUAACAAAGUCUUGCCCUGUCUUUCAAAUCUCUUAUCACCUCAUUUCUUUACGCUAACACUGGUCCUCAAACUUUGGUGUGAAUCAGAAUCUCCCCUGGGGUACUUAUUAAAAAUAUACACGCCUGGGUUCCAACUCCAGAUUCAACCUUAACGAUUCUGUAAGUCUGGAUUGUGGGAGUUUGUCGUUUGGUUUUGAUGCUGGGGGACAUCUAUGUUGUUAAGUUUCCUCCUGGUAUUUCCAACUCACUGAAUUUUGGAAAACACUACACCAGUUUCAACUUUACCUAAAUUUGGUAAGCUCCCCUAUGCUUUCUCAUUUAAUUCGGGAGUUAAAUUAUUUUCUCCCAUAAUCUCCAAAUCCAACGCAUCUUUCAAGACCCAGAUCAAAUGCCACCUCUCCCAGGAAGUCUUUCUUGCUCUCUUUCGCAGUUCUUUGAUAUUUAGUGGCACCUCUUGCUUAUUCAGGAAGCGUCCAAGCCCCUGACAAGCCAAUGAGUUUCUCCUGGUCGGGGAGAGAGGGACACAUUCAUCAAAGUCCGCCCCAACCCCUAGCCCUCAGGCGGGAAUUCGGCGCAAGCACGAUACUCUCAGAACACUGAAUCGAUAGUUCUUCCUGGAAAGCCAGGGCACACACACCCUCUACAGCCCACCUCAGAUGCCCUUCCCCAGUUGUGAAACGAGGCACCAGCAAAACCACUCCGGAUGUCAGUCUCCCCAAGGUCGGGAAUCAGGGAAUUGGAGGGCGGGCGGGGACUACUCAGGGUCUUGCUUUCAACUUUGAGCAUGUAGCCCGCCACGCCAAGAAGAGACGGCAAAGACGCCUGCGCCUUCCGGCCCUCCCUCCCCACUCCAACCCCGGCGUUCGCCUAGCCCUCCGAUUGGCUGCUCCUCGCACCAGCCGAGCCUCAGGGCUGCGGCCCACGUGGUCCACUGGUCGUCGCGGGAUUGGUUGUCCGGAUCGGGCUGCCGCGGCAGCCGGCGGGGUAGCGAGGUGGAGCAGUGUGGGAAGCCCCAAGCCCGUACCUCUGGGACUGAACGGCGGCGGGUGGGCUGCGGUCAGCCUCUGCAGGCCUGGGCAGGCCUCCUGAGAGUCCAGGGCGUAAGAGUUUUGGGGGGUUCGGAAAGCGGGCUGCGGACCCCCUGCCUGAGGCUUUGGUUUGAGCCCUGGAUCCGGCCUUGUGUUUCCCCGGAAGGAUGGCGUCUCAGUCUUUCCUGAAGUUGGUGGGGUUUGGAUGUUAUUAUUAUUAUUAUCAGCAGUAGUAUUGUUAUUGUUGUUAUUAUUAUCGUUUUGAGGAUACACCGUGUAUAAGUAUUGGUGGUCCUGCGCAGGACGCCAUGCAGAAUGCCAUGAGUUAGAAGCUGGAGGACGGAGGGCUUAGAGAUGCUUGAGGGACGUCCUUAACCUAUGUGAAAUGUUGGAGGUUGAGGUGAAAAAUAUGGCUUUGAUGUCUUCAUGGAAAACUGCAUUAUUUCAAUCCUGAAUCUGGUUCGGUUCCCUUAUUGACUUAUUACUAUAUUAAAAAUGUUUAUUUAGCAGUGAUUGUAAAAUGAAAGUAAUUAACAUGUACAUGUUUUUUGGGGGGGAGACUAAGGGGAAACAGGUGUUCAGCCUAGAAAAACAUUUCUCAUUGGAUUUCCUGUGAAGUCAGUGUGUCUUGGGUUUAACUUUGAAACAAAUUAAAAAAUUUUUAAAUUAAAAAAAAAGUUUACUUAACUAUGCUAUUUGUUCUGGUAAAACCUUGUGGUUUAAUAAGAAUUUUUGCAAAUAUCCAUUAUAUUCUUCUCUUGGUACAUAAAAGUGUUACUAUUUUAAAAUCUAUAGGACAUUCUAUUUCAAAAUUUAGUUCUAUUAUCUUAGUGCUGUCAGAAAAUGUGCUUUGAAUUGCUAAAAUGAGUUGUAUUGGACAACACCUGUCUCAGCAGAGGCACUUAAAAAUAAUUUUCAUCCUUC